GCUUGCCCCAGAUAUUAGUGGAAAUCUUUUUGUUAAAGAAAAUUUAUUUUUGUUGCUUUAAAAAAGCGACCAAGGAAAGCUCUUUUUAUAGCCUACAAAAAUAUUUUGUUUUCAAAAAAUUGAAAUGAAUAGCUGGAUUAGGC
rnacentral:sRNA from 1 species